rnacentral:rRNA from 1 species
CAGUAGCCGCGGUAAUACGUAGGGUGCAAGCGUUGUCCGGAAUUAUUGGGCGUAAAGAGCUCGUAGGCGGUUUGUCGCGUCUGCUGUGAAAACGCGAGGCUCAACCUCGCGCCUGCAGUGGGUACGGGCAGACUAGAGUGUGGUAGGGGAGAUUGGAAUUCCUGGUGUAGCGGUGGAGUGCGCAGAUAUCAGGAGGAACACCGAUGGCGAAGGCAGAUCUCUGGGCCAUUACUGACGCUGAGGAGCGAAAGCGUGGGGAGCGAAUAGGAUUAGAUACCCCUGUAGUCCCUGUCUCUUAUAC